UAACAAGGAUUCCCCUAGUAACGGCGAGUGAAGCGGGAUGAGCUCAAAUUUGAAAGCUGGCGCCUUUGGUGUCCGCAUUGUAAUCUCGAGAAGUAGUAUCUGUGCUGGGCCAUGUACAAGUUCCUUGGAAUAGGACAUCAGAGAGGGUGAGAAUCCCGUACUUGACAUGGAUUCCUGUGCUUUGUGAUCUGCUCUCUAUGAGUCGAGUUGUUUGGGAAUGCAGCUCAAAAUGGGUGGUAAAUUCCAUCUAAAGCUAAAUAUUGGGGAGAGACCGAUAGCGAACAAGUACCGUGAGGGAAAGAUGAAAAGCACUUUGGAAAGAGAGUUAAACAGUACGUGAAAUUGUCAAAAGGGAAGCGCUUGAGGUUAGCUAUGCACGCAGUAUUCAGCCUUUCUUUUGGAGGGUGUACUUGCUGUGUUGCAGGCCAGCAUCGAUUUUGUCUGCUGGAGAAGGGUGGCAGGAAUGUGGCACCCUCGGGUGUGUUAUAGCCUGCUACUGGAUGCAGUGGAUGGGAUCGAGGACUGCAGUGUGCCGUAAGGCGGCUCUUCGGAGACCUUCGCACUUAGGAUGCUGGCGUAAU
rnacentral:rRNA from 1 species